UAGGGAAUCUUCCGCAAUGGACGCAAGUCUGACGGAGCAACGCCGCGUGAGUGAAGAAGGAUUUCGGUUCGUAAAACUCUGUUGUUAGAGAAGAACAGCGCAUAGAGUAACUGUUAUGCGUGUGACGGUAUCUAACCAGAAAGCCGCGGCUAACUACGUGCCAGCAGCCGCGGUAAUACGUAGGUGGCAAGCGUUGUCCGGAUUUCUUGGGCGUAAAGCGAGCGCAGGCGGUCAAUUAAGUCUGAUGUGAAAGCCCCCGGCUCAACCGGGGAGGGUCAUUGGAAACUGGUUGACUUGAGUGCAGAAGAGGAGAGUGGAAUUCCAUGUGUAGCGGUGAAAUGCGUAGAUAUAUGGAGGAACACCAGUGGCGAAGGCGACUCUCUGGUCUGUAACUGACGCUGAGGUUCGAAAGCGUGGGUAGCAAACAGG
rnacentral:rRNA from 1 species